rnacentral:rRNA from 1 species
UGGGGAAUAUUGCACAAUGGGCGCAAGCCUGAUGCAGCCAUGCCGCGUGUAUGAAGAAGGCCUUCGGGUUGUAAAGUACUUUCAGUCGGGAGGAAGGUGGUAAGGUUAAUAACCUUGGCAAUUGACGUUACCGACAGAAGAAGCACCGGCUAACUCCGUGCCAGCAGCCGCGGUAAUACGGAGGGUGCAAGCGUUAAUCGGAAUUACUGGGCGUAAAGCGCACGCAGGCGGUCUGACAAGUCGGAUGUGAAAUCCCCGGGCUCAACCUGGGAACUGCAUUCGAAACUGGCAGGCUAGAGUCUUGUAGAGGGGGGUAGAAUUCCAGGUGUAGCGGUGAAAUGCGUAGAGAUCUGGAGGAAUACCGGUGGCGAAGGCGGCCCCCUGGACAAAGACUGACGCUCAGGUGCGAAAGCGUGGGGAGCAAACAGG